CGGAGCCAAAACAGAAAAUCCAAAACCCUAGUGACGAAACCAACGUAGUAGCAGCUAGGAUUCAAAUCAUCCGUGCUCAGCUCGAAUCUGGCUUCAAUGGAGGUCGAUAAGGGUAUACCUAACAUUGAUGUGCCCUUUUGUGAGAUGUGAUAUAUUCAUUUCUUUCGAGGGUACUUUCAAUGGUGUCUACAACCUCUGUGCUAAUGCUAUCUCUUGGAAGAAACCCCCUGAAAGCACUGCAAAUCAAAUGUUUAUGGGGUAAGAUUGUGAUUCAUCAUAGGGAUUGAAUCAAAGAAAAGAGAAAAUAAGAGGAGGAAAGGUGAAAUGAAGGUAAAUGUUUAGAGUUGAGAGAUUCAUGUGAAGAGAUCAGACACUGAAAAACAUGAAUGUUUUGACCGAAGUUUAUUAAGUUCAUUGUCACCCACUCUCAAACCCAUAUAUUUGGAGAAGAGAUAUCGUUUGAAAUAGUUGAGAACUAAAAUGGGCAAAAGGUCCUGACGGAUUGAGCAUUGAGGGCUGAGAUGCAAAAGUUGACUGAUUAUUGACAAUUUGUUGAUAUUGUUGUAUGUUAUUAUUGUUUUCACUAUGCUUGCUUCAAAAAUGAGUACAUAUGACAUUCUGUAUUUGCUGGAAAAUGAGAAUAUAUGAGAUUACAAAGUUUAUUGA